rnacentral:rRNA from 1 species
AGGUAAUAACAUACGUAAAACCUAUUUAUAUCGGCGGCAUUUCAUCUCACUAGAGGAAUCUGUUUAAUAAUUGAUAAUCCACAUUAAAUUUUACUUUAAAUUAAAACUUAUAUACCGCCAUCUAAAGAAUUAAAUUUAUAAAUUUAUUCUUAACAAAUUAUUAAAAGUUAGGUCAAGGUGUAGUUUAUAUUAAAGUUAAAAUGGAUUACUUUAAAUACAUUUUUGGAUAAAUUAAACUCAUUUAAUUUUAAAAAAGGAUUUAGAAGUAAUAAACUAAUAAUAUUACUUUAUAAAUUAGAUAACAAAUGUGC